rnacentral:tRNA from 1 species
CGCGGGAUAGUGUAGUGGUUAGCACAUUAAAAAAUGAGUCUUGAAAAAGACUUAGACUGCAUACCAAUUAUUCAUUACAAGAAACUAGCGUAGGUUCGAUUCCUACUCCCGCAA